UACGGAAGGGGCAAGCGUUGUUCGGAAUCAUUGGGCGUAAAGGGCGCGUAGGUGGUUCUGUAUGUCUACCGUGAAAGCGUACGGCUCAACCGUAUUUUGUCGGUGGAAACUGCAGGACUUGAGGCUGGGAGGGGCUGGUGGAAUUCCCUGUGUAGCGGUGAAAUGCGUAGAGAUGGGGGAGAACACUCGUGGCGAAGGCGGCCAGCUAGACCAGUUCUGACACUGAGGCGCGGCAGCGUGGGGAGCAAACAGG
rnacentral:rRNA from 1 species